UUGAAACACUGGUUCCCAUAUGAUCACCAAAAUUAAGCAACAUCAAGCCUGGUUAGUGCCUAGAUGGGUGACCACUUGCGAAUACUAGAUGUUGUAAG